rnacentral:rRNA from 1 species
CACGUAGGGUGCAAGCGUUAUCCGGAUUUACUGGGCGUAAAGCGCGCGCAGGCGGCGUCGUAAGUUGGACGUGAAAUCUCUCGGCUUAACCGGGAGGAGCCGUUCAAGACUGCGGUGCUCGAGGGCAGAAGAGGGGAGUGGAAUUCCCGGUGUAGCGGUAAAAUGCUUAGAUAUCGGGAGGAACACCAGUGGCGAAGGCGACUCCCUGGUCUGUUCCUGACGCUGAGGCGCGAAAGCGUGGGUAG